AAGGCUGCCAAGUAAAUGAAGAAUGAAUCACCGCACACUGGUAGUUUAUUUUAUUCAUGUUUGUGGGUGUAAUUUCGUCCAGUUGCAGAUACUACUAUCCUUUUUGGAAUGAUCUGCCUUUGAAAAACAAUCUGACAAAAGCGAACAGAUCCUGUAGUUGUAAUUGAUACACUAGACUAAAUUAUCAUAUUCCUAUGUGUGCGCGCGCACGCGCCAAGUUUUCAAUUCAACACACUGGGACACUUUUCAGUCUUUGAGGUUGCUGGAAUCAACACAGACUACCUCCAUGCACCUUAUCAGAACACUUUGCAUGUUUUUUGUAUACUUGUCCCCUUUGUGUAUUGCUGCUAAUAUUUCUCUUUCUAGGUUCUGUUGGUUGCAUGCAGAUUGUGCCAGAUGAUUUAUCUGUCUAUGGUCUAAGCAUGGGCUCUGUGCUAAUAUGCAAUUUGUGCUCUUUUUUCCCUCAGGUCAACAGCAGACAGGGUCCUUCCACAACCACAUACUUAUGCCAGUAAAAGCUACAGCUUUUCUCCUCCGAUCCAAGAAGCCUGGACUGCAGUCACCAUCUCAACACACCAACCAAGAGAAAGGCGGAUGGCUCAAUUCAAUAUGGAAAAUUGCACAAUAAAAGUUCCAGGACAUGAAGGCUGCAUACUGUGAACGUCAACCUUCAGGGCACCGUCCUGCACAGAAGACUUUCUACCCUAAGAGGGAUGGCUGACCGCAGACACUCACAACCAGCACAGACGCCUCCAACCUCAGACUAGGCCCUUCACAGUUGCUGCACUUACCCACCUUCCCAGAGUUUUUGUGUGGUAAUGACAACUGUAAAUAUA